AAUAUACUUAAUGCCACUGAACUGUACACUUAAGAAUGGUUAAGAUAGUAAACUUCAUGUUAUAUGUAUUACUCUACCAAAAAAGACCC